rnacentral:lncRNA from 1 species
CGUACACGAACUUCCUAUUUACCAAAUCGUUUAAGCGGGAAUUUCAUGACUGAACAGAGUCUAACAGUUUUACAUGUUAAAUCUUAAAAAAUGUUGUUAUCAUUAAUGAUAAAUGAAGAACGACUUUCUUUUUUUUGCGAUUUUUUAUAGGCUAUUAGCCACUCGAGAUGUAUGUACCUUAUGUGAUUGAGCUAUGCCCUGAAAAAUUAAAGACAAACGAAAAAGUUUCUAAGCUUCAUACCAAACAAUUGAAAUUUUUCUGACAUUGACCUAA